rnacentral:rRNA from 1 species
UGAGGAAUAUUGGUCAAUGGACGAGAGUCUGAACCAGCCAAGUAGCGUGCAGGAUGACGGCCCUAUGGGUUGUAAACUGCUUUUGUUUGGGAAUAAUCGACAUUACGUGUAAUGUUUUGCAUGUACCAUUCGAAUAAGGAUCGGCUAAUUCCGUGCCAGCAGCCGCGGUAAUACGGAAGGUCCAGGCGUUAUCCGGAUUUAUUGGGUUUAAAGGGAGUGUAGGCGGUUGGUUAAGCGUGUUGUGAAAUGUAGAUGCUCAACAUCUGACUUGCAGCGCGAACUGGCUGACUUGAGUACACACAACGUAGGCGGAAUUCAUGGUGUAGCGGUGAAAUGCUUAGAUAUCAUGAAGAACUCCGAUUGCGAAGGCAGCUUACGGGAGUGUUACUGACGCUUAAGCUCGAAGGUGCGGGUAUCGAACAGG